GUAGGAUAGGUGGGAGGCUUUGAAGCGUGGACGCCAGUCUGCGUGGAGCCGACCUUGAAAUACCACCCUUUAAUGUUUGAUGUUCUAACGUGGAUCCGUAAUCCGGGUUGCGGACAGUGUCUGGUGGGUAGUUUGACUGGGGCGGUCUCCUCCUAAAGAGUAACGGAGGAGCACGAAGGUUGGCUAAUCCUGGUCGGACAUCAGGAGGUUAGUGCAAUGGCAUAAGCCAGCUUGACUGCGAGCGUGACGGCGCGAGCAGGUGCGAAAGCAGGUCAUAGUGAUCCGGUGGUUCUGAAUGGAAGGGCCAUCGCUCAACGGAUAAAAGGUACUCCGGGGAUAACAGGCUGAUACCGCCCAAGAGUUCAUAUCGACGGCGGUGUUUGGCACCUCGAUGUCGGCUCAUCACAUCCUGGGGCUGAAGUAGGUCCCAAGGGUAUGGCUGUUCGCCAUUUAAAGUGGUACGCGAGCUGGGUUUAGAACGUCGUGAGACAGUUCGGUCCCUAUCUGCCGUGGGCGCUGGAGAACUGAGGGGGGCUGCUCCUAGUACGAGAGGACCGGAGUGGACGCAUCACUGGUGUUCGGGUUGUCAUGCCAAUGGCACUGCCCGGUAGCUAAAUGCGGAAGAGAUAAGUGCUGAAAGCAUCUAAGCACGAAACUUGCCCCGA
rnacentral:rRNA from 2 species